AAUCAACGCUGGCGGCGUGCCUCAGACAUGCAAGUCGAACGAGAACCUCCCUUCGGGGAGGGGACAGUGGCGCACGGGUGAGUAACACGUGGGUAAUUUACCUUUGGGUGGGGAACAACAGCCGGAAACGGCUGCUAAUACCGCAUAAUGCAGCGGCUCGACAUCGAGACAGUUGUUAAAGCGGGGGAUCGCAAGACCUCGCGCCUGAAGAGAAGCCUGCGGCGGAUUAGCAGUUGGUAGGGUAAUGCCUACCAAGGCGACGAUCUGUAACCGGCCUGAGAGGGCGGUCGGUCACACUGACACUGACAUACGGGUCAGACUCCUACGGGAGGCAGCAGUCGGGAAUUUUGGGCAAUGGGCGAAAGCCUGACCCAGCAACGCCGCGUGAAGGAAUGAAGCUUUUCGGUAGGUGUAAAACUUCAUAAAGAAUGGGAAGAAUAAGUGGCGGAUAAUACCCUUCACGAUGACGGUACCUAUUUGUAAG
rnacentral:rRNA from 1 species